rnacentral:rRNA from 1 species
UGGGGAAUUUUGGACAAUGGGCGCAAGCCUGAUCCAGCCAUGCCGCGUGUCUGAAGAAGGCCUUCGGGUUGUAAAGGACUUUUGUCGGGGAGGAAAUCCUCUGGGUUAAUACCCUGGGGGGAUGACAGUACCUGAAGAAUAAGCACCGGCUAACUACGUGCCAGCAGCCGCGGUAAUACGUAGGGUGCAAGCGUUAAUCGGAAUUACUGGGCGUAAAGCGUGCGCAGGCGGUUGUGCAAGUCUGAUGUGA